CUGAGCAGCACUGGUCCCUGUGCCUGUGAGGCCCAUCUCCUCAGGCCCAACUGUGGCCUCCAUUACAGGCCUCUAUGUGCCUGGGAGCUGGCUGGGCUGCAGGGCGCCAGCCCCUGCCACAUGGUGCCUGCUCUUGAGGAACCAGGCUUUCAGCUGCUCCAAAUGAUGGCUUCUGGAUUGCUCUUAGAGUCAGGUGAAUUUGUACCAGCUGGAGACAGGUCCCAGACCUCUUUCGGGAGUGGGGGCAGCAAUGCCAGAAGGGCUUGUGUCUGUGUGGUGAGGCCUUGCCCUGAGCCUGCCAUGAUGGGCGGCUGUUGCCACAGCUGUGGUAAUUGCCAUAGUGAUGGCAGCUGUGUGCGUAGUUAGGGUUGUGUGGAGGAAUGGGCUGCCCUCAGUAGGUAUCUGAAGCUGGAGAAGGUCUUCUGCUUCUCUUCUGGACAACAUGGUCUACCUCUUUGUGGCUUAAUUUAAGUUCCUUUUCUGGGAAAUGCCAUAAGAGAAACCCUCGCUGCUGAGUUGCCUUCACACCUGACAGGCCUCCGGUUAGAGCUGCUUCACAAGGUAAAGUAAAGAAGGCAUUGGAAUAAAAUUUAUUUGGGCAUUUUUUCAAGUAUUCCUUGGAGGGUAAUAUCGAAGACUUGUUUCUCCUUGUCAUCUGUCUUCACGUUGCAAAAGAGCAUACAAAUGCUGGUCCGAUGCGUUAUCGGUGAAGUUACUGAGUUGUAUUCGAUGAGUUGUUGGCCUGUUUGCUAUUCCAGCUGCUGUUUCAGAAACAUUUGUCUGUUGUGAGCCUGGAGUCUAGCAAGAAAAAUCGGGUUGUUCUUCAGAGAACUUAGAAGGCAGAGAAGUCAAGGCACGGACGUGUAUACAGCUUGUUCAAGCCCUGGGUGGUUCCACAAGCGGGCUGGGAAUCCCUCCUGCUGCCUGAGUCUGGCCUCUGCGCGACCAGCCCAGCAGACUCUCGAAGUCUCUGUCAGAAAAUCCUCGCUAAACCCAGUCAUUCAGUGCCAGAUCUGCUCUGAUGCUGUUCUCUAGCAGUUCAUGGCUUUUGUUCGGCUGGACUCAAAGACAGAUCAUUAUCUAGCAGGGACUAGUUCUGAUGGUUUGAGAGGUCGUCCCAGCUGCGAACAGCUGGAUGUGUAGCCCAUGAGAUCAGAAACCUGAUAGACAGAAAUGGCUGAUGUCAUGAAACUGUCUUAAAAUUAUAAUUGUAUUGUUCUUUCAUCCCCAAAUCAUUUUUCCCAGAAAAGUGUAUUAAAACACAUGAAUGACAUUCUAAAAUGACGCAGGAAAAGUCUGCUAGGGCAAAAAUGAUGUCUAUGUGCUAGCGAUAUUUUAAUUAUAAAUGUCAUCCUGUUUUGGGGAUUGAUACCCUUUUCUAAAAGUUCUUUACUGGUUAGUGUUUUACAUAAAAUUUAUAUGCACAAGGGUGAAACCUCAGCUCUAUUGAGUUACUUUGUUAAACACCCCAGCAGACUCCCCAGUUUUAAGAACAACUUCCUGAAACUUUGUGCCUCCUCUUGUGUUUGUGCUGUGGGAUGAUUUGUUUCAUCGGGAAAUAAGAGUUUGUUAGAUUUGUUUGUGGUAUUUUUUGAUCUUAAAUAGUGUUUUCCUUCCAAAUCCACAGCCUAUUUCUAAGAGCCUAUGAGAAGUAAUGAAAAAGUAAAAUCUGUAGGCUGAAAGGUUAUCAUGUAGGAGUCCAGCGUAACUGGAGCACAUUAAGGAAUAUUUAAAAAGAAUCUGACAUUUAUUUGCUUAAAGCCCUCACUUUGUUCUUGCAGCUUCCUACAAAAUGGAUUCCUUCAGCUUUUUGAAUCUAGUGUGAACUGCACAGAAAAAACUUAUAGUCUGAUGGUGCUUUCCCUUACAGGAACCUUUCCUAGCAGUGGUUCAUCAUUCUGAAAGUACUGUUUGUUUUCCACUCCCAGGAUGCAGGCUGGCCUCAGUAAUGCUCAAAACUUGGCUAAGUUUUAUUCCAAACCACAAAAAAGCUUUC